GGGGUUGUGGCUCAGCGGUAGAGUGCUUGGCUAGCAUGCAAGGUCCUGGGUUUGAGCCUCAGCACCACA
rnacentral:tRNA from 1 species